CUUCAAGCAACUUAAAGAAGUCCAGACGCUUUUCUUUCCAAGCUCCUUUGACUACGAUGACCUGGAUGACUGAGAACCUUCACAGACAAAUCGAUUGAGAUAAAUAUUUUGAAACUUCAGUAAAAUGAGAAGCUGAUGAGAUGGAUGAUCAAGAUAUUGCAUCGGCAGAGGAAAACAACGACAGCACAGGAGGAGAGUCUGAAAACAUGUCUGAAACACCUCCCAUCAAUGAGAGAAUGGCUCCUGAUCUCACACUUGUACUAAUUGGUGACCCAGAUUCCACUGAGAUCGGACCAAAGAACAUUUUUCUUGACCAUGACGACCAAACAAAUGUGGAACCAUUUUCCUCCAAUCUGUAUAAUCUGUGUGGUCAACAUGUCCGCGUCAUUAACAUGCUCGGUCUACAAACAAAGAAAAUCCCUUUAAAUCAGGGAGUUCAUGCCUUUGUCUUACUAUUACCCAACACUCUGCAUAGCAGCCAGUACAGCUCAGGAGUGCAGUGGUUAGAGAGAACCUUUGGGAUUGGAGCACUUUCUUAUUUAAUCACAGUGGUAACUCACGAAACAGGUGAAACAUGUGAAAGUGCAUUAAAAGAGCUGAAAACUAACACGGAGUUUAAUGAAAAAAGGUUCCACACAUGUAACAGAAAUAUGAUGGAUGAAAAACAGGUAGCAAAUUUGUUAGAAAAAAUAAAUGUCAUGGUCUCUGAAAAUGAUCCACAAAGCUACACUGGACUGAUGUGUGCUGAAGAUAAAGACCAAGAAGGACACCUGGAGGACAAAUCCCACAAAGAAGAAAGGAAAAACUCAACAAACGAAAGAGGUACCUGCCUGUCUGUGUUUUAGGCAAACAAACUCUUGCACUCAGCAGUGGGCUAACCUGUGAAUCUUAAUUUGAUUAGAUACAAUGAAUUCGGUGACAUUUAUCUUUAGAAUUGUCCUUGUAACCAAAAUUUUAUUCAUUUGAUAGAUUUGUGCAAAAGUUGUGAGGGUUUCUGUCCAGAAAAUAUUAAACGCAGAGGUGUAGUGGUGUUUGUUUAAAUAGUGGUUACCCAUCUGCCUAUGUCUACACACAAAUUAGAGUUAUUUGUUUCUGAGGCUGUUUCACCCCAGUGACAAAUUCACAUUGUUGUAGUUAUGAAUUAACUGAGCAUAAAGUCGUCUAUCAGACCAUCUUCAUACAUACCACUUCUUUUCAUUCUUUCAUUUGAGAUACCUGCCUCCUCUCUACGUACAGAUGCGUUUGGAAGAACAUAAUGAUUCUUCGUCAGGCUUCUCUCAUGUGUCUUAACUGCCACAUUGAUGUCUGGGAGCUAGAUGGGCUUAAAUUGUAAUAUUACCACUCAUUUUGGUAUGAUCAUGGAGACACAAAAUACAUUAGCUUAUUCGUGUUUUGAUCAGUAUUAUUGCUGCUCCCCUUUUUUUCCAAGCGAGGAUAGCAAAUAUUCAGUUUGUUUCAGCUGAAAUUGGGUUGUUAGUUUAAGAGUAGGUUAUUUCAUGCAAGAAGGUUAAUAAAGACAAAAUAAGUAAAAGUAAGUAAGUAAAAUUUAUUUAUAUAGCACAUUUCACAGAUAAAAAUCACAAAGUGCUUUACAGUAAGA